rnacentral:rRNA from 1 species
CCUACGGGAGGCAGCAGUAGGGAAUCUUCCACAAUGGGCGAAAGCCUGAUGGAGCAACGCCGCGUGGGUGAAGAAGGUCUUCGGAUCGUAAAACCCUGUUGUUAGAGAAGAAAGUGCGUGAGAGUAACUGUUCACGUUUCGACGGUAUCUAACCAGAAAGCCACGGCUAACUACGUGCCAGCAGCCGCGGUAAUACGUAGGUGGCAAGCUUUAUCCGGAUUUAUUGGGCGUAAAGGGAACGCAGGCGGUCUUUUAAGUCUGAUGUGAAAGCCUUCGGCUUAACCGGAGUAGUGCAUUGGAAACUGGGAGACUGGAGUGCAGAAGAGGAGAGUGGAACUCCAUGUGUAGCGGUGAAAUGCGUAGAUAUAUGGAAGAACACCAGUGGCGAAAGCGGCUCUCUGGUCUGUAACUGACGCUGAGGUUCGAAAGCGUGGGUAGCAAACAGGAUUAGAUACCCCAGUAGUC